UGGGGAGUUUGCCGCCGCGGCGGGAGCUGCGGGUCUCUGGCUGCGUCAAGAUCUAAGAAACUGAACUGUCAAUAAGUAAACAAUUUUUCCACAGUGGAAUCUCACAAGAGAAAGUAAGGUUUUGUUUGUUUUUUUCUUUUGGAUCAUUUGUUUAAGGCUCCAUUCUUGAAACUUUUUCCUUUCUUUUAAAUUUUAGUUAGCCUAUUAGAAAAAUCUUACCCAAGUUUUUCCUCCUAUAGUCAAAACCUUUUAUAGCUGUAUUGUUAAUACUACUUUCCUUCAUCUUAAUAUAACUUGGGAAUCUUGGCUGUGUCAUUAAGCUUCAAAUAUUAAGAAAACAUCAAACAAUUAAAGCUUUGUACCAUGUAUUUAAAAGAAAACAACAGGAAAACAAAGAAUCAGGAAGAAGGAUUCAAUUCACUCAUUUCCUGAUUCUCAGACAUAUUAUAUGAGGUGUUCCAAGCUUGACUCUCAAUAUCAAAAUAAUAUCUAGAAAUAUUCAGUUGGUAAAUUAUGCCAAAAUAAACAAGUAGAAAAAAAUCUAUGUUCUGUAGCAACUUCUUUCCAUGGUAUUCAUUUGUAUAUCCAGGGUACUUUGACAAGCUUUGUGGACAGUGGCUACUUCAAAGAUCGUACCAGUCACAGGAUAAACUUUCCGAAACUAGAUGAUGUCCCAAAGGGUCUCCUCCUUGCCUCUCCCCUCCCUUCACAAUACGCUGGCAAAAGGCAAGGAUAAAACUGAAUCAUCAAGAACAAAUCAUUUUAAUAGUUAACUUUAUUAACAUAUACAUUCAUUGUAUGACAGAUAUCCACACUAGUGAGAGAGGGAAAUUAUCCUUCAGACAAAAGGGAGAUGUUAAUCUACCUCCUGUCUUCAGCUUAAUUUAUUUCGUCUUUUUUUGUCCACUGUCUCCUACACAUUGCCUGUAAAUCAGCCCCCCUCUCCCGCCCCCCUCACUCCAUACAGACAAGAACAGACUAAGAGACUGGAAUGUUCAUUGGAUUUUAGUGCCACCUUGUGGUAAUUUUUACAGGGCUUUUUUUCCCCCCAACUCAAAAAAUAUAUAUAUAAUUGUGGUGGUUCAGUCACUAAGUCAUGUCUGAGUUUUUGCCACCCCCACUGAGGACUUCAGCUCCUCAGUUCUCCACUACCUCCUAGAAUUUGCUCAAAUUCAUGUACACUGAGUCAGUGACACUAUCUAACCAUCUCAUCCUCUGCUGCCCCCUUCUCCUGCCUGCAAUCUUUCCCAGGGAAUGGGCUCUUCGAAUCAAGUAGCCAAAGUAUUGGAGCUUCAGCUUAAGCAACAUUCCUUUCAGUGAAUAUUCAGGACUGAUUUUUCCUUAGGAUUGACUGGUUUGAUCUCCUUGGUGUCCAAGGAACUCUCGAGAGUCUUCUCCAGCACAAUUGGAAAGCAUCAAUUAUUUGAAGUUGAGCCUUCAUUAUGGUCCAACUCUCACAACAGUACAUGACUACUGGAAAAACCAAAGUUUUGAC
ensembl:lncRNA